rnacentral:rRNA from 1 species
AGAACGAACGCUGGUGGCAUGCCUAAUACAUGCAAGUCGAACGAGAAAGCACCUUCGGUGUGAGUAGAGUGGCGCACGGGUGAGUAACGCGUAGGUGACGUACCUAUUAGUGGGGGACAACAUCGGGAAACCGGUGCUAAUACCGCAUACUCUGAGUGAAAUUGGAAAAACUCAGCAAAGGGGCUUCGGUCUCGCUAGUAGAUUGGCCUGCGUAGCAUUAGCUUGAUGGUGGGGUAAUGGCCUACCAUGGCUUCGAUGCUUAACUGGUCUGAGAGGAUGAUCAGUCACACUGGAACUGAGACACGGUCCAGACUCCUACGGGAGGCAGCAGUAGGGAAUAUUGCGCAAUGGGGGAAACCCUGACGCAGCAAUGCCACGUGAGUGAGGAAGGCCUUAGGGUUGUAAAGCUCUGUCCUAUAGGAAUAAUGGUUUGGGGUAAUGCUCAAAUUUGAAGGUACUAUAGAAGAAAGCACCGGCUAACUCCGUGCCAGCAGCCGCGGUAAUACGGAGGGUGCAAGCGUUGUUCGGAUUUAUUGGGCGUAAAGCGCGCGCAGGCGGAUCAGCAAGUCAGAUGUGAAAUCUCGGGGCUUAACCUCGAAACUGCGUCUGAAACUGUUGAUCUAGAAUCUCAGAGAGGGUAGGGGAAUUUCACGUGUAGGGGUAAAAUCCGUAGAGAUGUGAAGGAACACCGGAGGCGAAGGCGCCUACCUGGAUGAGUAUUGACGCUGAGGCGCGAAAGCGUGGGGAGCAAACAGGAUUAGAUACCCUGGUAGUCCACGCCGUAAACGAUGAGCACUAGCUAUUGGGGGUAUUGACUCCUUCAGUGGCGUAGCUAACGCAUUAAGUGCUCCGCCUGGGGAGUACGGUCGCAAGACUAAAACUCAAAGGAAUUGACGGGGGCCCGCACAAGCGGUGGAUUAUGUGGUUUAAUUCGAAGCAACGCGCAGAACCUUACCAAGACUUGAAAUCCUAGGAAUCCGACGUAAUGGUUGGAGUGCUCGCAAGAGAAUCUAGUGACAGGUGCUGCAUGGCUGUCGUCAGCUCGUGUUGUGAAAUGUUGGGUUAAGUCUCGCAACGAGCGCAACCCCUAUCUUUAGUUGCCAGCAUUAAGUUGGGCACUCUAGAGAGACUGCCCGGGUUAACCGGGAGGAAGGUGGGGAUGACGUCAAGUCCUCAUGGCCCUUAUGUCUUGGGCUACACACGUAAUACAAUGGUUGAUACAAAGGGAAGCGACCCUGCGAAGGUAAGCAAAUCUCAAAAAGUCAAUCUCAGUCCGGAUUGGAGUCUGCAACUCGACUCCAUGAAGUUGGAAUCGCUAGUAAUCGCGGAUCAGCACGCCGCGGUGAAUACGUUCCCGGGCCUUGUACAACCGCCCGUCACACCAUGGGAGUUGGUUCAAUCUUAAGACGUGACUCUAACUUCGGAGGAGAGCGUCUACGGU